GAUGAACGCUAGCGGGAGGCCUAACACAUGCAAGCCGAGCGGUAUUGUUUCUUCGGAAAUGAGAGAGCGGCGUACGGGUGCGGAACACGUGUGCAACCUGCCUUUAUCUGGGGGAUAGCCUUUCGAAAGGAAGAUUAAUACUCCAUAACAUAUUGAUUGGCAUCAAUUAAUAUUGAAAGCUCCGGCGGAUAGAGAUGGGCACGCGCAAGAUUAGCUAGUUGGUGAGGUAACGGCUCACCAAGGCGAUGAUCUUUAGGGGGCCUGAGAGGGUGAUCCCCCACACUGGUACUGAGACACGGACCAGACUCCUACGGGAGGCAGCAGUGAGGAAUAUUGGUCAAUGGGUGCAAGCCUGAACCAGCCAUCCCGCGUGAAGGACGACUGCCCUAUGGGUUGUAAACUUCUUUUGUAUAGGGAUAAACCUACCCUCGUGAGGGUAGCUGAAGGUACUAUACGAAUAAGCACCGGCUAACUCCGUGCCAGCAGCCGCGGUAAUACGGAGGGUGCAAGCGUUAUCCGGAUUUAUUGGGUUUAAAGGGUCCGUAGGCGGACUUAUAAGUCAGUGGUGAAAGCCUGUCGCUUAACGAUAGAACUGCCAUUGAUACUGUAAGUCUUGAGUAUAUUUGAGGUAGCUGGAAUAAGUAGUGUAGCGGUGAAAUGCAUAGAUAUUACUUAGAACACCAAUUGCGAAGGCAGGUUACCAAGAUAUAACUGACGCUGAGGGACGAAAGCAUGGGGAGCGAACAGGAUUAGAUACCCUGGUAGUCCACGCCGUAAACGAUGCUAACUCGUUUUUGGGCUUUAGGGUUCAGAGACCAAGCGAAAGUGAUAAGUUAGCCACCUGGGGAGUACGCUCGCAAGAGUGAAACUCAAAGGAAUUGACGGGGGCCCGCACAAGCGGUGGAUUAUGUGGUUUAAUUCGAUGAUACGCGAGGAACCUUACCAAGACUUAAAUGGGAAUUGACAGCUUUAGAAAUAGAGCUUUCUUCGGACAAUUUUCAAGGUGCUGCAUGGUUGUCGUCAGCUCGUGCCGUGAGGUGUUAGGUUAAGUCCUGCAACGAGCGCAACCCCUGUCACUAGUUGCCAUCAUUCAGUUGGGGACUCUAGUGAGACUGCCUACGCAAGUAGAGAGGAAGGUGGGGAUGACGUCAAAUCAUCACGGCCCUUACGUCUUGGGCCACACACGUAAUACAAUGGCCGGUACAGAGGGCAGCUACACAGCGAUGUGAUGCAAAUCUCGAAAGCCGGUCUCAGUUCGGAUUGGAGUCUGCAACUCGACUCUAUGAAGCUGGAAUCGCUAGUAAUCGCGCAUCAGCCAUGGCGCGGUGAAUACGUUCCCGGGCCU
rnacentral:rRNA from 1 species